UACGAACCGUCCAAACGUUACUCGGAAUCACUGGGCUUAAAGGGUGCGUAGGCUGCGCGGAGGGUGGGAUAUGAAAUCCCCCGGCUCAACCGGGGAAUAGCGUCCCAAACCGCCGUGCUCGAGGGAGACAGAGGUGAGCGGAACUGAUGGUGGAGCGGUGAAAUGCGUUGAUAUCAUCAGGAACACCAGUGGCGAAGGCGGCUCACUGGGUCUUUCCUAACGCUGAGGCACGAAAGCUAGGGGAGCGAACGGG
rnacentral:rRNA from 1 species